CCCUUAGAUGUCCGGGGCCGCACGCGCGCUACACUGAAGGAAUCAGCGUGGCUUUCUCCCUGACCCGAAAGGGUUGGGAAACCCGAUGAAUCUCCUUCGUGAUAGGGAUUGGGGCUUGAAAUUGUUCCCCAUGAACGAGGAAUUCCCAGUAAGCGCGAGUCAUAAGCUCGCGUUGAUUACGUCCCUGCCCUUUGUACACACCGCCCGUCGCUACUACCGAUUGAACGGUUUAGUGAGGGCCUCGGAUUGGUCUCGGCCCGCUCUUUACCGGGCGGCGCCGUUGGUCGAGAAGACGCUCGAACUUGAUCGUUUAGAGGAAGUAAAAGUCGUAACA
rnacentral:rRNA from 1 species